GAUGAAGAACGCAGCGAAAUGCGAUAAGUAACGUGAAUUGCAGAAUUCAGUGAAUCAUCGAAUCUUUGAACGCACAUUGCGCCCCUCGGUAUUCCGAGGGGCAUGCCUGUUCGAGCGUCAUUAUAACCCUUCAAGCUCAGCUUGGUGUUGGGGCCUGCUGUAACUGGUAGCCCUUAAAAUCAGUGGCGGUGCUAUUAGGCUCUAAGCGUAGUAAUUCUUCUCGCUAUAGUGUGUAGUGAGCGCUUGCCAGAACCCCAAACUUUUAUAUGAUUGACCUCGGAUCAGGUAGGGAUACCCGCUGAACUUAAGCAUAUCAAUAAGCGGAGGA
rnacentral:misc_RNA from 1 species